CCUACGGGCGGCAGCAGUGGGGAAUAUUGGACAAUGGGGGGAACCCUGAUCCAGCCAUGCCGCGUGUGUGAAGAAGGCCCUCGGGUUGUAAAGCACUUUCAGUGAGGAAGAACGCCUGGUGGUUAAUACCCAUCAGGAAAGACAUCACUCACAGAAGAAGCACCGGCUAACUCCGUGCCAGCAGCCGCGGUAAUACGGAGGGUGCGAGCGUUAAUCGGAAUUACUGGGCGUAAAGCGCGCGUAGGUGGCUUGAUAAGCCGGUUGUGAAAGCCCGGGCUCAACCUGGGAACGGCAUCCGGAACUGUCAAGCUAGAGUGCAGGAGAGGAAGGUAGAAUUCCCGGUGUAGCGGUGAAAUGCGUAGAGAUCGGGAGGAAUACCAGUGGCGAAGGCGGCCUUCUGGACUGACACUGACACUGAGGUGCGAAAGCGUGGGUAGCAAACAGGAUUAGAUACCCUUUAGUC
rnacentral:rRNA from 1 species